rnacentral:rRNA from 1 species
GACGAACGCUGGCGGCGUGCUUAACACAUGCAAGUCGAGCGGUAAGGCCUCUUCGGGGGUACACGAGCGGCGAACGGGUGAGUAACACGUGGGUGACCUGCCCUCAGCUCUGGGAUAAGCCUGGGAAACUGGGUCUAAUACCGGAUAUGACCUUUCCUCGCAUGGGGUUUGGUGGAAAGUUUUUUCGGCUGGGGAUGGGCCCGCGGCCUAUCAGCUUGUUGGUGGGGUGAUGGCCUACCAAGGCGACGACGGGUAGCCGGCCUGAGAGGGCGACCGGCCACACUGGGACUGAGACACGGCCCAGACUCCUACGGGAGGCAGCAGUGGGGAAUAUUGCGCAAUGGGCGGAAGCCUGAUGCAGCGACGCCGCGUGGGGGAUGACGGCCUUCGGGUUGUAAACCUCUUUCGACCCCGACGAAUUUGGACGGUAGGGGUAGAAGAAGCACCGGCCAACUACGUG